GACGAACGCUGGCGGCGUGCCUAAUACAUGCAAGUCGAGCGCAGGAAAUCAUCCGAACCCUUAGGGGGGACGUUGAUGGAAUGAGCGGCGGACGGGUGAGUAACACGUAAAGAACCUGCCCUCAGGUCUGGGAUAACCACGAGAAAUCGGGGCUAAUACCGGAUGGGUCAUCGGACCGCAUGGUCCGAGGAUGAAAGGCGCUUCGGCGUCGCCUGGGGAUGGCUUUGCGGUGCAUUAGCUAGUUGGUGGGGUAAUGGCCCACCAAGGCGAUGAUGCAUAGCCGACCUGAGAGGGUGAUCGGCCACACUGGGACUGAGACACGGCCCAGACUCCUACGGGAGGCAGCAGUAGGGAAUCUUCCACAAUGGACGAAAGUCUGAUGGAGCAACGCCGCGUGAACGAUGAAGGCCUUCGGGUCGUAAAGUUCUGUUGUAAGGGAAGAACAAGUGCCGCAGGCAAUGGCGGCACCUUGACGGUACCUUGCGAGAAAGCCACGGCUAACUACGUGCCAGCAGCCGCGGUAA
rnacentral:rRNA from 1 species